UACGGAAGGGGCAAGCGUUGUUCGGAAUCAUUGGGCGUAAAGGGCGCGUAGGUGGUUCUGUAUGUCUACCGUGAAGGCAUACAGCUCAACUGUAUUUUGUCGGUAGAAACUGCAGGACUUGAGGCUGGGAGGGGCUGGUGGAAUUCCCUGUGUAGCGGUGAAAUGCGUAGAGAUGGGGGGAGAACACUCGUGGCGAAGGCGGCCAGCUAGACCAGUUCUGACACUGAGGCGCGACAGCGUGGGGAGCAAACAGG
rnacentral:rRNA from 1 species